CCUACGGGAGGCAGCAGUGGGGAAUAUUGGGCAAUGGGCGCAAGCCUGACCCAGCAACGCCGCGUGAAGGAAGAAGGCUUUCGGGUUGUAAACUUCUUUUCUCAGGGACGAAGAAAGUGACGGUACCUGAGGAAUAAGCCACGGCUAACUACGUGCCAGCAGCCGCGGUAAUACGUAGGUGGCAAGCGUUAUCCGGAUUUAUUGGGUGUAAAGGGCGUGUAGGCGGGAGCGCAAGUCAGAUGUGAAAACUCAGGGCUCAACCCUGAGACUGCAUUUGAAACUGUGUUUCUUGAGUGCUGGAGAGGCAAUCGGAAUUCCGAGGGUAGCGGUGAAAUGCGUAGAUAUACGGAGGAACACCAGUGGCGAAGGCGGCCUGCUGGACUGCAACUGACGUUGAGGCCCGAAAGCGUGGGGAGCAAACAGGAUUAGAUACCCUUGUAGUC
rnacentral:rRNA from 1 species